ensembl:snRNA U6 U6 spliceosomal RNA
GUGUUCGCUUUGGCAGCACAUGUACUAAAACUGGAACAAUGAAGAGAAGAUUAGUAUGGCCCCUGUGCAAGGAGGACACAGAAAUGCAUGAUGAGUUCCAUAUUAAA